rnacentral:sRNA from 1 species
UUUUAGCCCCGGUAGUAGCGGCAUCCUUUGCUUUUUUUCUUUAGAAAAGCAAAGAUAUAGCGGAUGACGGGUCCUAUG